rnacentral:rRNA from 1 species
AUUGAAAGCUGGGGGCAGGCUUAACACAUGCAAGUCGAGCGGAGUUUUGGUGCUUGCACCAAGAAUUAGCGGCGGACGGGUGAGUAAAGCUUAGGAAUUUGCCUAUUAGUGGGGGACAAAGUUUUGAAAGGAAAGCUAAUACCGCAUAAGUCCUACGGGAGAAAACAGGGGAUUUUUGGACCUUGCGGUAAUAGAUGAGCCUAAGUUGGAUUAGCUAGUUGGUGGGGUAAAGGCCUACCAAGGGGACGAUUUGUAGCGGGUUUGAGAGGAAGAUUCGCCACAAUGGGAAUGAGACACGGCCCAGAAUCCUGCGGGAGGCAGCAGUGGGGAAUAUUGGACCAAGGGGGAAAACCUGAUCCCGCCCUGCCGCGUGUGUGAAAAAAGCCUUUUGGUUGUAAAACACUUUAAACGAGGAAGAGGAAGUUCAGGUUAAUACCCUGGAAGCUUGGACGUUAAUCGCCGAAUAAAC